rnacentral:rRNA from 1 species
UACGAAGGGGGCUAGCGUUGUUCGGAAUUACUGGGCGUAAAGCGCGCGCAGGCGGUUCGAUAAGUUGGGGGGUGAAAUCCCCCGGGCUCAACCCGGGAAUGGCCUUCAAGACUGUCGAUCUAGAGGACGAGAGAGGUGAGUGGAAUUCCCAGUGUAGAGGUGAAAUUCGUAGAUAUUGGGAAGAACACCGGUGGCGAAGGCGGCUCACUGGCUCGUUUCUGACGCUGAGGCGCGAAAGCGUGGGGAGCAAACAGGG